rnacentral:rRNA from 1 species
AUGGCUGUUUUCCACCAUUUCUACAACUUGGCUGGGGGAGAUUUUGCGGCCCUGAACUCUGCCAUGAUUGUGCUGCUGCCGAAGAAGGACGGGGCAACAAGUAUGGCUGAUUACAGACCCAUCAGCCUGAUUCACUCCAUCGCAAAGCUCAUCGCCAAGGUCCUAUCCAUGAGGCUGGCCCCUGUCAUCAGCACUCUGAUCUCGCCUGCCCAAACUGCUUUUCAGCGCACUAAGUGCAUCCAUGACAGCUUCCUUUAUGUCCAAAACGCCGUCAGAGCCCUGCAUCGGCGCAAAACACCUGCCCUGCUUCUGAAAUUAGACAUAGCCAAGGCAUUUGACAGCAUCUCUUGGGAAUACAUGUUUGAGCUUCUCCAAAGAAUGGGCUUCCCUGCUCGAUGGCGAGACUGGAUUGCACUUCUGCUCUCUACAUCCUCGUCGUCUUGCCUCCUGAAUGGCUCUCCGGGCGCCUCCAUCAUCCAUCGUCGUGGGCUGCGCCAAGGGGAUCCGCUCUCGCCGCUGCUCUUCAUCCUCUGCAUCGAUCCCCUGCAUCGUCUUCUAGAAGCGGCAACCAUGGCAGGCCAGCUCUCUCCUCUGCCUGAUACGGCCGUGCGCAUGCGUACUAGCCUGUAUGUCGACGACGCUGUGAUCUUCAUCAACCCCGCAAGGACGGAGGUAGAUGCCCUGCUCAGCAUUCUGCACCUCUUCGGCGAGGCCACGGGCCUGCACGUCAACCUGGCCAAGUCCUCGGCUGUGCCGAUUAGCUGCGGCGACCUCGACCUCGGUUCCAUCUUGCACAACUUUGGCGGCAUCGUGGCGUCACUACCCAUCACGUACCUAGGCCUCCCAAUCACCACCAGUAGGGUUCGUUUAGUCCACCUGCAGUUCAUCCUAGAUAGGAUUCGUGCGCGCCUCGCCGGCUGGAAGGGCAGACUCAUGCAUAUCGCCGGCCGAAGGGUGCUCGUCCGCUGUGUCCUCUCCGCUAUGCCGACGUUCGCCCUCACGGUGCUGAGAGCACCAAGGAAGUUCUUCAAGGAGGUAGAUAAAGCCAGACGUCGUUUCCUCUGGGCACAAGACGAAGCAGCAACCGGAGGAAAGUGCAAGGUCGCAUGGAGCGCGGUCACCACGCCGGAACCCCACGGAGGCCUCGGUAUCCAUGAUCUGGACAAAUUCGCGCGCGCCCUCCGUCUGCGCUGGCUCUGGCUCUCCUGGACCCAUCCAGAGCGGCCAUGGGUCGGCACGGGCACACCAUGCAACCUGCAGGAUCGAGCCCUGUUCGCUGCCAACACGGCGGUCACCAUCGGGGAUGGCAAGACGGCGUCUUUCUGGUCAAGUCCCUGGCUAGGCGGCAGGCCACUCCGGCUGGACUACCCUACCCUGUUCGCCCGCUCCAUCCGCAAGAACAGGUCCGUCCGGGACGCGCUGCUCGACGGGCGGUGGAUCCUUGAUCUCCGCCACGGGGAAACCAGCAGCAUCGCGCCAUUUGUGCUCCAGCUUGCAAGGGCAAUUCGGAGAGCUGGCAUCAUCAUCAACAAUGAUCUCAGCGACACAAUCCGCUGGACUGCUGGCACCUCCGGGCACUACUCCGCCCGCUCCGCCUACGCGGCACAAUUCCAGGAGCCAAUGGCACCCUUCCCCUCCAAGGACGUCUGGCGAAUCUGGGCACCUGGGAAGCUCAAGAUGUUCCUCUGGAUGCUCCACCUGGACAGACUGUGGUGCAACGAUCGCCUGCAGCGGCGUGGCUGGGAGAAUAGCUACUUCUGCCAACUCUGCUUGCGAAAUUUGGAGUCCUCCUCCCACCUGUUCUGGGACUGCCCGAUUGCCAUCCAGGCUUGGACAAUGGCGGCGUCUUGGCGGGGCUGCCACUCUCUGGCACACGCUACCUGGAGCUCCGGAACGACGACGACGGAAAGAGUGAGAUUGAUCACGGAUGCGGCAAGGCCAACAGACAGGAAGCGCACCAGAUCCAUUCUUGCGCUCAUUGCCUGGCACAUAUGGCUUGAGCGUAACGCAUGCACCUUCCGUGGUAAGACGCCGUGCUCUCGCUCCAUCAUCGAAGCGUGUCGCCGUGACAUGGAACAAUGGAGAAUCGCAGGAGCAGCCUGCAUAGAGCACCCCUUCGGGGAUGUGCCGUGA